rnacentral:rRNA from 1 species
AUUGAACGCUGGCGACAGGCCUAACACAUGCAAGUCGAGCGGAUGAGAGGAGCUUGCUUCUCGAUUCAGCGGCGGACGGGUGAGUAAUGCCUAGGAAUCUGCCUAGUAGUGGGGGACAACGUUUCGAAAGGAACGCUAAUACCGCAUACGUCCUACGGGAGAAAGUGGGGGAUCUUCGGACCUCACGCUAUUAGAUGAGCCUAGGUCGGAUUAGCUAGUUGGUAGGGUAAAGGCCUACCAAGGCGACGAUCCGUAACUGGUCUGAGAGGAUGAUCAGUCACACUGGAACUGAGACACGGUCCAGACUCCUACGGGAGGCAGAAGUGGGGAAUAUUGGACAAUGGGCGCAAGCCUGAUCCAGCCAUGCCGCGUGUGUGAAGAAGGCCCUCGGGUCGUAAAGCACUUUAAGUUGGGAGGAAGGGCUUACAGCGAAUACCUGUGAGUUUUGACGUUACCGACAGAAUAAGCACCGGCUAACUUCGUGCCAGCAGCCGCGGUAA